AUUUGUACCUAAUAUAAGUCUCUGUAUAUUAUUUGGGGCCCUAACUUGGCAGGCAGAACUCAGGUGGCUGGCAGAAAGCGCCCACAUGGUGGUAGGGCUCGGGUGGCUUUUGGUGGAAAGAUUCAUUUUAACAGUAGUCAUUAUUUCUUUUACCAAAACUUCUGGUUAUAACUGAUUUUUGUGUAAUUCAGAAAAUUUGUUUUUGGAAGAUGGGUCAAUAUUUGUUGAACAUGUAAUGUGUUUGUGGUGAUAUUUUCAGUAUCUCCACAUCGAUACUAAUUUUUUCUGACAAUUCUGUGAAAUAAAUUCUAUAGCAUUCAUAUUUUCCAGAUGAAGAACAUGACAAAUUACAAAAUGAAAGUCUUCGGUCAUACAGCUAGAAUUCUUGAGUGUAUGCACAAAACUAAUUUCCAAUUCUCAUCUUGUUCAACAUUACUCAAAAAGAAAUUUUCCGAUCAAUUUUGCUAUGGUACUUUUGGUUCUUUGGAAGAAAAAGAUUGUUUUGUUCUUUUCAAAGUUGGUGCUUUAUGUUUGUGCUGGCUCUGUCCUGCUUAUCCUAGCUAGGAUCUGUUUCCUUGUCUAGUCUUGGUUACACAAGCUAAAUGACCUCUGCAAGCAACCCUUUCCCAGACUCUGCAGUCAACUUGAUUCUGGCCUGCAUAGAUCAUGAAUGGCAGGCCUUGGCUGCACUUAGAGGAUAGAUUAUAGGGAAAAGCCAGGUAUUUUUCUCCAGGGCCUGGCUAUCCCUGGCAUUAGAGAUGACACCAGGAGUAGCUGCUAAUUUCUGCAGGGCCUUCUGUGCUUCAAAGACCAAAAGUGUAUUCAUUGGUUUUUAUGAAUUAAAAUUUCUCUCUUUUAAAUGCUUAAAAUCAUUCUACUAUUAAUGUUGUCUCAUUCAGAGUUGAGGGAUCCAAUGUUGUAGCCAUACUCUUAAAGUAUUUUAAAAUUGUACAAACUUAAGUAUCCAAAUACAAAUGAAGGACUAUGCUUAUUAAAUCUACAAAAUUUUUAAGUGAAAAAUAUGAAUAUUUAGUAUUGCACUGAGGACUCAAGUCCUUCAGUGAAACAGCCAGGAUAUUAAGCAAAACACUUCUUUGUAAACAAUGCCUGUCAAGCCACUAAUAAAAUACAAUGAAUGUUGCAAAAAAUGAAGGUGUUUAAUCACAGAUAUCAUAAAAUUUAAAAAAUAUAAAUGUAUAUUUUUAAAAAUUAAAUUUAAAGGUUUUCAUUCAAAUUAUACCAACAACUAAAAUUCUUCUCCAAGCAGAAAAUGGAGAGUUUGGUGGUGGAAUACAGAUUAUUAUUACUCAUUGGAAGACAGCAAAGCUUCCAAACCACUCAGAAAGUUAAUCAGCAGUCAUAAAUGCAAACUACCUUGAGAUUUAGGUAGGAAAUGCAUGAGACAUAUAUUAUAAAGAUGAAUCCAUAUAGAAUAUCUCUCUCCAUGAAUCUUUCUAUAUUUUCAAUUAGCAUCAAAUUGGUAAAACAAAAAAAAUGUGAGAUAUUUUGAUAAAGAAAUAAAUGAAGACAACUUUUAAAUGAUUCAGCAGACUAGUCCCUGAUGGAAAAUAAUGCCAAUAUGUGUUGCAGUUGAUACUCUGAUCAAAAUGUCAUCAUUUCUUGAUAUUUUGUCAAAAUUGGAUGUGCAUGUGUGCUGUUUUUUCAGUGUUGAGAAUUCAACCCCAACUCAGUUUCCUUCCAGUUUUCCUUUCCAAAGAGCAAAGGCUCUUCAGUUGUCAGAAUGAUUACCUGGAUUGAAUUUUGCAAGAAGAACCACCAAUGUAAGUAUGGGUUUAUGUGUUUUUAAGAUUGGAUAGCCAGUCUAUGAAGAAAGAACUUAUAAUAAGUGAAGAACUAUUUCUGGAACUAGUGAACAAGCUCAAAAUCUUCACAAACAAAUUUUUAAUAUUUCAUUGUUAUUUUAUACCUAUGAAUUUAAUUUUUCAGAGUAUUUCAAUAUUUCAUGAGUCAUGUAUGUCAAGAUGAAAUUCUCUUUAGUACAAAAAUUAAAUGUUUUAAGGUGACAACUGUGAAUUAGACAGACUAUAAUUAUUUUACAUGUUUAGAAUAAACAAACCACUUCAAUGUCUAGAUCAGAAGAAAAUAGCUUUCUCUCUUCUAUCUUCUCUUUAUAUACAGAUAUUACAUAUCUAAACACACAGCAUUGAACCUGCAAAGUCCAAACUGAAAAAAACAGAAAGUUUCUUAGCCCAUUAAUAUUUACAUAUUAUACAUCUCUUUCAGCCUUCAAAAAGACAACUUUUAUAAUUUUAAACAUAUGUGUGUGUUUUAUGAAUUUUUUAAUUAUAGCAUUUUGUAGGAGAUUAAAAUAAACACCCACUUUUUUUUAGAAAUAAAUAAGAAUGACUUACACUCUAACCUAGUCAGAUGCUACCAGCCCAAGGUUUUUGUAGCUACUGUGGAAGUUUAAAAGACAAACUGAAGCAGUUAGUGGUCCCUCUCUUAUGGGAUGGAGAGAUCAAUUCUUGCUAUCUACAAGUUUUUGUUAGCAUCCAAGCACAUAGUAGCUUGGCUUAUAACUAUAUUAAUUUAUUUAAUAUGUAAUAUUUAAUAUAUAAUACAUGCAACUAGGAUUUAUUUCUUUGUUUCUUUCUUCCCCCAAUUAUGUCUUCACCAAUUACAGGACCAACACACAAUCCAAAAUCAUAGGGUUAAUAAACACCAUUGUCUGCAGAAGUGAUGACUGACUUUCUAUAGAUGUUACAUUUUAGAACUAUAAUGCAGACACAUAGCUGGACUUGGGACUAAUAUUAUUCAAGAAAUAGCUAUGCCAAGUGUUGGUGUGCUUAGAAAAGUGCACAGUGGAAAGAGGGUUUGGAUUGCUAGUUUUCCCCUGGAAGGUAUUUCAAGGAUUACAAAGAAACAAAAAAUACAGUUUAGUCAGAAGGUGGUAACUGAACAUCUAUGUUGAGAAAGGUGCUCAUUUCUUUUCAACAUAGGCGUCUGAAUAAUGAGACUCAUUUUAUGCCAUAAUUUACUUAAGUAAAGGUAAAACUUCUGAAUGUGUGUUUAAAGUUGAAACAUUUCUAAUUCCCAUAAGCUUUAAUGGUUUACUUCAAUAACAGGAAGGCUAUGGAGCCUUUUCUAACUAACCGUUUCUUUCUUAAGCAAUGAUAAUUGUUCUUCCUGUGAUCAAGUCACACAAUGAAGUAACUUUUCCUCCAGUGGGAAACACUCAGAGCCUUCAUUGCUCUGUGACCAAGAAAAUAAAUUCCUUCCCAACAGCCUCCUCCACAGGCUUAUCAGAAUCCAGUCAACUCCUGAUGCUUUUAUUCCUUCACUGCCUUUGCUUUUAUCCUGUUGCUUUUUCUGAAAUAACAUUUCAAGUGAUUAAAGCAUAUUUACUUAUCAUAGAAAAUACACAAGAGAAAGCUAUUAGAUAAAAACGAUCUGUAAUUCCAUAUUACCUGUUAACUUUUUAAUGUGGUUGUUAGAAUCCUGUUUCUAUGCUGUUAUACACUGAACUCUAAGAUACUUUGAAAUAAAUGUUGAAAGAUGCUGUGCAAUUUACUCAUAUCUACUUUGUACUAGUUUUUUUAACAUAGCUUUUUUCAUUCUAUAAUUUUUCUUCAAUAUUUCAAUAAUUACAUAUUAUUCUAUUUCCAUGUAUAAGAAUGGAUUUCACAAUGUGUUGUUUUUUACUUUUCCUUUCAAAUGUAAUGUAACUGAAACAUACUUGUAAAACUUAAACUCAUAGAUCUAAGAGUAAGAUCAUUAAACACUUUUAUUUUGCUAAGACUUCCAAGAUGUGAAAAAAGUAGGUUCUACAUUAAUAAUGUAAGAGGAUGCUGUUUAUUACUGUUGAGAGAGUAAUUCUUUAUUGUUUUAAUUUAUGAAUGUUAAUUGGUAAUAAAUUGACAAACAUUAAAACUUUAUAUACUUAUUUUGUGAA